AUGUGUGUAUAUAAUGCAGUGUAUUUGUGUAGUGUGCAUUAUAUACACACACUAUACAAACACUGCAUUAUAUACACAGUGU